CACACGUAAGGUUUGGGAUCGUCCGGGAGAAAUCCGGGCAAUUCCACCCGGUGGCAUCUUCUGAAGAGGGUGCUGUUUGCCUUGCGGAGGUUCAACCGGAAAAGGAGAAAAAGG
rnacentral:sRNA from 1 species